GCGGCCGUGGCGGAAUUGGUAUACGCGUACGUUUGAGGGGCGUAUGAUGCAAAUCGUGUGAGUUCGAGUCUCAUCGACCGCACCA
rnacentral:tRNA from 1 species